CGGGGGCCAGUCAGUGGUUGUACUGGUGUAAGAGUGUAGGCCGUGACAUAGGCAAAUCCGUGUCACAUUAAGGCUGAGACUUGAUGCAUACCCGUUGUGGGGGAUUCAGUGAUCCUAUGCUGCCGAGAAAAGCCUCUAGUGAGUUCAUACACGGCCCGUACCCCAAACCGACACAGGUGAUCAGGUAGAGAAUACCAAGGCGAUCGAGAGAACUGUGGUUAAGGAACUCGGCAAAAUGCCCCCGUAACUUCGGGAGAAGGGGGACCAUGCCCGGUGAACAUCUUCACGGUGGGAGCUGGGUGUGGUCGCAGAGACCAGAGAGAAGCGACUGUUUACUAAAAACACAGGUCCGUGCGAAGACGUAAGUCGAUGUAUACGGACUGACGCCUGCCCGGUGCUGGAAGGUUAAGAGGACCGGUUAGCCGUAAGGCGAAGCUGAGAAUUUAAGCCCCAGUAAACGGCGGUGGUAACUAUAACCAUCCUAAGGUAGCGAAAUUCCUUGUCGGGUAAGUUCCGACCUGCACGAAUGGCGUAACGACUUCUCUGCUGUCUCGACCACAGACUCGGCGAAAUUGCACUACGAGUAAAGAUGCUCGUUACGCGCGGCAGGACGAAAAGACCCCGGGACCUUUACUAUAGCUUGGUAUUGGCGUUCGAUUCGGUUUGUGUAGGAUAGGUGGGAGACUGUGAAGCAUGCACGCCAGUGUGUGUGGAGUCGUUGUUGAAAUACCACUCUGAUCGUAUUGGACGUCUAACCUCGGCCCAUGAUCUGGGUUAGGGACAGUGCCUGGUGGGUAGUUUAACUGGGGCGGUUGCCUCCUAAAGAGUAACGGAGGCGCCCAAAGGUUCCCUCAGCCUGGAUGGCAAUCAGGUGUUGAGUGCAAGUGCACAAGGGAGCAUGACUGUGAGACUGACACGUCGAGCAGGGACGAAAGUCGGGACUAGUGAUCCGGCACCGGCAAGUGGAAGCGGUGUCGCUCAACGGAUAAAAGGUACCCCGGGGAUAACAGGCUGAUCUUCCCCAAGAGUCCAUAUCGACGGGAUGGUUUGGCACCUCGAUGUCGGCUCGUCGCAUCCUGGGGCUGGAGUAGGUCCCAAGGGUUGGGCUGUUCGCCCAUUAAAGCGGCACGCGAGCUGGGUUUAGAACGUCGUGAGACAGUUCGGUCUCCAUCCGCCGCGCGCGUAAGAAACUUGAGGAAGGCUGUCCCUAGUACGAGAGGACCGGGACGGACGAACCUCUGGUGUGCCAGUUGUUCCACCAGGAGCAUGGCUGGUUAGCUACGUUCGGAAGGGAUAACCGCUGAAAGCAUCUAAGCGGGAAGCCUGUUCCAAGAUGAGGUUUCUCACCACCUUGCGUGGUUAAGGCCCCCUACAGACCAUGGGGUUGAUAGGCCGGAACUGGAAGCGCAGCAAUGCGUGGAGGUGACCGGUACUAAUAGGCCGAGGGCUU
rnacentral:rRNA from 1 species